rnacentral:rRNA from 1 species
UACGGAGGGUGCAAGCGUUAUCCGGAUUCACUGGGCUUAAAGGGUGCGUAGGUGGGUUUGUAAGUCAGUGGUGAAAUCCCCGAGCUUAACUUGGGAACUGCCAUUGAUACUAUCAGUCUUGAAUACCGUGGAGGUCAGCGGAAUAUGUCAUGUAGCGGUGAAAUGCUUAGAUAUGACAUAGAACACCAAUUGCGAAGGCAGCUGGCUAGACGAAUAUUGACACUGAGGCACGAAAGCGUGGGGAUCAAACAGG